rnacentral:rRNA from 1 species
GAUGAACGCUAGCUACAGGCUUAACACAUGCAAGUCGAGGGGAAACGGCAUCGAAAGCUUGCUUUUGAUGGGCGUCGACCGGCGCACGGGUGAGUAACGCGUAUCCAACCUGCCCAUCACUUGGGAAUAACCUUGCGAAAGUAAGACUAAUGCCCAAUGACAUCCCACGAAGGCAUCCGAAUGGGAUUAAAGAUUUAUCGGUGAUGGAUGGGGAUGCGUCUGAUUAGCUUGUUGGCGGGGUGACGGCCCACCAAGGCAACGAUCAGUAGGGGUUCUGAGAGGAAGGUCCCCCACAUUGGAACUGAGACACGGACCAAACUCCUACGGGAGGCAGCAGUGAGGAAUAUUGGUCAAUGGGCGAGAGCCUGAACCAGCCAAGUAGCGUGCAGGAUGACGGCCCUAUGGGUUGUAAACUGCUUUUAUAAGGGAAUAAAGUGGGUCACGUGUGACUUUUUGCAUGUACCUUAUGAAUAAGGACCGGCUAAUUCCGUG